rnacentral:rRNA from 1 species
UACGUAGGGUGCAAGCGUUAAUCGGAAUUACUGGGCGUAAAGCGUGCGCAGGCGGUUAUGUAAGACAGAUGUGAAAUGCCCGGGCUUAACCUGGGAACUGCGUUUGUGACUGCAUGGCUAGAGUGUGUCAGAGGGGGGUAGAAUUCCACGUGUAGCAGUGAAAUGCGUAGAUAUGUGGAGGAAUACCGAUGGCGAAGGCAGCCCCCUGGGAUAACACUGACGCUCAUGCACGAAAGCGUGGGGAGCAAACAGG